UGGUUCUCGCAUCGAUGAAGAACGCAGCGAAACGCGAUAGGUAAUGUGAAUUGCAGAAUUCCGUGAAUCAUCGAAUCUUUGAACGCACAUUGCGCCUGCUGGUAUUCCGGUAGGCAUGCCUGUUCGAGCGUCAGCAAAACCUCUCAAUGAAUUUUUUUUUAUUGGUCAUGGGCUGCGGAGGACUAGUCUUUACAGGCUGCUCCCGCCUUAAACUUGCUGCACGACCGCGAGCUAUUGCUAGGUUAAUGGAGUGGUGUUUACAUUAAAUUCCAGCGAUUACGCAUAGCUUGGUGGCGUUAAACCACGUUGCUUAACUGCAACUUGAAGUUUGACCUCGAAUCAGACAAGGAUACCCGCUGA
rnacentral:misc_RNA from 1 species